rnacentral:rRNA from 1 species
UAUGGCUCAGGAUGAACGCUAGCGACAGGCCUAACACAUGCAAGUCGAGGGGCAGCACAAGGAGCAAUCUGAGGUGGCGACCGGCGCACGGGUGAGUAACACGUAUGCAACCUGCCUGUAAGCGGGGAAUAACCCGUUGAAAGACGGACUAAUACCGCAUAAUACUAAAUUACUGCAUGGUAAUUUAUUUAAACAUUUAUGGCUUACAGAUGGGCAUGCGCAUGAUUAGCUAGUUGGAGAGGUAACGGCUCCCCAAGGCAACGAUCAUUAGGGGUUCUGAGAGGAAGGUCCCCCACACUGGUACUGAGACACGGACCAGACUCCUACGGGAGGCAGCAGUGAGGAAUAUUGGUCAAUGGACGAGAGUCUGAACCAGCCAAGUCGCGUGCAGGGAAAAGAAUGUCCUAUGGAUUGUAAACUGCUUUUGCAGGGGAAUAAAGUGCAGGACGUGUCCUGUUUUGUAUGUACCCUGAGAAUAAGGAUCGGCUAACUCCGUGCCAGCCGCCGC